rnacentral:rRNA from 1 species
AUACGGAGGGGGCUAGCGUUGUUCGGAAUUACUGGGCGUAAAGCGUACGUAGGUGGCUUGAUACGUCGGAUGUGAAAGCCCUGGGCUCAACCUGGGAACUGCAUUCGAUACUGUCUGGCUAGAGUAUAGUAGAGGGAAGUGGAAUUCCGGGUGUAGCGGUGAAAUGCGUAGAUAUCCGGAGGAACACCAGUGGCGAAGGCGGCUUCCUGGACUAAUACUGACACUGAGGUACGAAAGCGGGGGGAGCAAACAGGAUUAGAAACCCCAGUAGUCC